rnacentral:lncRNA from 1 species
UCAUGAAUUCAUCAUGUGAAAUACUGAGAUCUUUGUAUAAUGCAUGUACCAUCAUAUUGUUGUUGUGUUCUCAGUCACCUCUUUGACUUCAUCAUGUUUGACCACAUCUGUAACUCCAUCAUGUUUGACCACAUCUGUAACUUGAUCAUGUUUUUCUACCUCUUUAACUUGAUCAUGUUUUUCCACCUCUUUAACUUGAUUCUGUUUUUCCACCUCUUUAACUUGAUCCUGUUUGACCACCUCUUUGACUUGAUCCUGUUUGAUCACUUCUUUAACUUGAUCCUGUUCGAGCAUCUCUUUGACUUG